CGUAGGGGGCAAGCGUUAUCCGGAUUUACUGGGUGUAAAGGGAGCGUAGACGGCGCGGCAAGUCUGAAGUGAAAGGCAGGGGCUUAACCCCUGAACUGCUUUGGAAACUGCCAUGCUAGAGUGCUGGAGAGGUAAGUGGAAUUCCUAGUGUAGCGGUGAAAUGCGUAGAUAUUAGGAGGAACACCAGUGGCGAAGGCGGCUUACUGGACAGUAACUGACGUUGAGGCUCGAAAGCGUGGGGAGCAAA
rnacentral:rRNA from 1 species